GAACUGGUGUAAAUUGUUAAUGCAUAUAAGCUUGUGUAUUUUUGUAAAUAGUUUGUGAUUUAUUUCUUGACUCAUAUGUAAAUAUUUAGAGUCUCAUUUCUUCAAAGCUUAUUUGAAGCUGAGUUGUGGGUUUGGGGUUUUGUUCGUUUGUUCCUUUGUUUGUUUUGGUUGGGGUGGGGGGUGGGGAGAGAAGGGAUUUUGUAUUCUGAUAAUCCAGACGGAGAUAUCUUGUGGUUUAAAGCAAAUGUCCCACUGAAAGCAAUUCAAAUAUCAAGAAAAUUAUUU
rnacentral:lncRNA from 1 species